AUGAAGUAUGACGAGCGAUACACAGAGUAUAUCCGGAAGACCGGACUUCUCCCUUUCAUCUCACUCGUGUCUCGUUCGAUGCCGAAGAUGAACCCUUGUGUGAUCACGACACUCGUUGACCGAUGGUGCCCUGAGACACAUACUUUUCACUUAUGUGCUGGGGAGAUGACUGUCACUUUGCAUGAUGUUUCUCUGAUCAAUGGACUUCCUAUCAAAGAAGAGCCUAUUUGUUUUAGCAUAGAUUCUGAUGGAUGGCGUGAGAUUAUGGUUGGACUCAUAGGGAGGGAGCCAGGGGUACAAGGUAAGUCCGCGAUGCAAGUUAUCAUUGGAUUGCUGAAAACUUUGGGGUAUGCGCCCGUUAGUGAAAAGACUUGUAGCGGGCGCCUUUAG
rnacentral:rRNA from 1 species